UGGGGAGUUUUGGACAACGGGGGAAACCCUGAUCCAGCCAUCCCGCGUGUGCGAUGAAGGCCUUCGGGUUGUAAAGCACUUUUGGCAGGAAAGAAACGUCGCGGGUUAAUACCCCGCGAAACUGACGGUACCUGCAGAAUAAGCACCGGCUAACUACGUGCCAGCAGCCGCGGUAAUACGUAGGGUGCAAGCGUUAAUCGGAAUUACUGGGCGUAAAGCGUGCGCAGGCGGUUCGGAAAGAAAGAUGUGAAAUCCCAGAGCUUAACUUUGGAACUGCAUUUUUAACUACCGGGCUAGAGUGUGUCAGAGGGAGGUGGAAUUCCGCGUGUAGCAGUGAAAUGCGUAGAUAUGCGGAGGAACACCGAUGGCGAAGGCAGCCUCCUGGGAUAACACUGACGCUCGUGCACGAAAGCGUGGGGAGCAAACAGGAUUAGAUACCCUGGUAGUCCACGCCCUAAACGAUGUCAACUAGCUGUUGGGGCCUUCGGGCCUUGGUAGCGCAGCUAACGCGUGAAGUUGACCGCCUGGGGAGUACGGUCGCAAGAUUAAAACUUAAAUGAAUUG
rnacentral:rRNA from 1 species